GAUGAACGCUGGCGGCGUGCCUAACACAUGCAAGUCGAACGGGUCUUCUUCAACAAAGGCUUCGGCCGGAGGAGAAGAAGUAACCAGUGGCGGACGGGUGAGUAACGCGUGGGUAAUCUGCCCUUGACUGGGGAAUAACUGUGAGAAAUCACAGCUAAUACCGCGUAAGCCGACAGGGCCGCAUGGUCCGGCCGGAAAAGAUUUAUCGGUCAAGGAGGAGCCCGCGUCUGAUUAGCUGGUUGGUGGGGUAAUGGCCCACCAAGGCGACGAUCAGUAGCCGGCCUGAGAGGGUGAACGGCCACAUUGGGACUGAGACACGGCCCAAACUCCUACGGGAGGCAGCAGUGGGGAAUAUUGCACAAUGGGGGAAACCCUGAUGCAGCAACGCCGCGUGAAGGAAGAAGGGUUUCGGCUCGUAAACUUCUAUCGACAGGGAAGAAAAGAAUGACGGUACCUGAAUAAGAAGCCCCGGCUAACUACGUGCCAGCAGCCGCGGUAAGAC
rnacentral:rRNA from 1 species